UAUGGAAAUUAAAAAUCCUGCAGCCCUUUCAUAAAUAAAUACAGCAGAAUUACAGGUUCGAAAAUGUAAUUUAUUUCCUAAGUAUUUUUGGUUCGGAGGAUUAUGGCUCUUGGCGACACCUCCGUAAAAAAAAAAACGCAUCACGAUUCCUACCUCCUGAUAUGCUGAAGCCAGUCAGUUUUUAAGAAUGUAAAGUAUGACUCUGAGUGUGUGACCUGAUAUGAGGAGGAUAGUGCAAGACAGGGAUUAUAACUACUAGAUUUGUGUUGCAUGCAGUGUGAACAUUUCAUAAGUGUACAACAAAGUGAUUUGGAUUAAUUAUUUCAAAACACGAACCUCAGAUGUUAAUAUUUCAAGAAACUGUUUUUUAGAACAACUGCAAAUAUCAACAAGAAUAUAAUAAAAGGAUAUACAAUACGUUAUGCACAACUGCAAUGGGGUAAGUUAAAAUUCUUGUACCUAUUUUUGCAUUCAUUCAUUCAUAUAUUUUAUUAUAAAUUUGUUGGUAAUAUAAUGUGAAUGGAUA